UGGGUCUUGCCAGCCAAGUGUCACGGGAACACGUUGGGACAAUGACCAACACCGUAUGCUGAAUUUCUUUCAAGGUGGUAAGUGUCGAGCUUUGGCGGAAACUUUGCUAAAUGGAACAAGACUGGCAAAGAAAUAUCUUGUCAUCCUUGGGAAAGGAUGGUCCUGACACAUGCUGAACUGCUGGGUACCCCAAGGGUGUGGAUCCGACUGACAAGUCAUCUUAAACCCACGAGUCUCAGCUGGCAGUAGGAUCUGCCAACAGAUCAGUAUGGUGAGGACCCCAUAGAAACAGGCUUACAGAAUUGUCC
rnacentral:lncRNA from 1 species